UGGCGGACGGGUGAGUAAUGUCUGGGGAAACAGCCUGAUGGAGGGGGGUAACUACUGGAAACGGUAGCUAAUACCGCAUAACGUCGCAAGACCAAAGAGGGGGACCUUAGGGCCUCUUGCCAUCGGAUGUGCCCAGAUGGGAUUAGCUAGUAGGUGGGGUAAAGGCUCACCUAGGCGACGAUCCCUAGCUGGUCUGAGAGGAUGACCAGCCACACUGGAACUGAGACACGGUCCAG
rnacentral:rRNA from 1 species